rnacentral:rRNA from 1 species
AGUUAAAAAGCUCGUAGUUGGAUUUCUAACGGACGCGUCUGGUCUGCUCCGCGAGGAGUCGGUACUGAGUCGUCGUCUGUUAUCCUUGAGGAGAAUAUUCCUGGCAUUAAGUUGUCGGGAGUAGUAUCCUCAUCGUUUACUGUGAAAAAAUUAGAGUGUUCAAAGCAAGCUUAGGCUCUGAAUAUAUUAGCAUGGAAUAAUAAGAUAAGACCCUGGUGGUUUAUUUUGUUGGUUUGCACGCCGAGGUAAUGAUUAAUAGGGAUAGUUGGGGGUAUUCGUAUUCAAUUGUCAGAGGUGAAAUUCUUGGAUUUAUGGAAGACGAACUACUGCGAAAGCAUUUACCAAGGAUGUUUUCAUUAAUCAAGAACGAAAGUUAGGGGAUCGAAGAUGAUUAGAUACCAUCGUAGU